rnacentral:rRNA from 1 species
CCUACGGGAGGCAGCAGUGGGGAAUUUUGGACAAUGGGCGCAAGCCUGAUCCAGCAAUGCCGCGUGCAGGAUGAAGGCCUUCGGGUUGUAAACUGCUUUUGUACGGAACGAAACGGCGAGCUCUAAUAAAGUUCGCUAAUGACGGUACCGUAAGAAUAAGCACCGGCUAACUACGUGCCAGCAGCCGCGGUAAUACGUAGGGUGCAAGCGUUAAUCGGAAUUACUGGGCGUAAAGCGUGCGCAGGCGGUGAUGUAAGACAGAUGUGAAAUCCCCGGGCUCAACCUGGGACCUGCAUUUGUGACUGCAUCGCUAGAGUACGGUAGAGGGGGAUGGAAUUCCGCGUGUAGCAGUGAAAUGCGUAGAUAUGCGGAGGAACACCGAUGGCGAAGGCAAUCCCCUGGACCUGUACUGACGCUCAUGCACGAAAGCGUGGGGAGCAAACAGGAUUAGAUACCCUGGUAGUCCACGCCCUAAACGAUGUCAACUGGUUGUUGGGUCUUCACUGACUCAGUAACGAAGCUAACGCGUGAAGUUGACCGCCUGGGGAGUACGGCCGCAAGGUUGAAACUUAAAUGAAUUGACGG